UUUUUUUUUUUUUUUUUUAAGUUCAAAAAUAGGGUAUAUUGAAUUUUGGAUUCUAUCAGUAAUCAUCUGAUCUGCAUUUUACUGAUGGUUCUCAAUUCAUUUUAAAUGAUAUGAAACAAUUUUGUUUCAUUACGACAUAUAGCUAGUUUAAUUUUCAAAAAAGUAUUCUUCCAGGAUUGUCAACAAGAAUUCAGAAAAUGAAAAUAGCUUAAAAUCUUUGCACAAGUUCGUUGUGUUUUCUUUUCAAAAGAACUUUGUGGGAUCGCUCUUCAGAAAGUGCUUGAGCACAAAAAACAGAACAAAAUAAGAAAGGGCGAAAGCCAUUGCUCUACUUCUCUUGGUGGACAAGAUUGUUCCUACUUGUUCAUACUAAAGUCUCUUUCACUUUUUACUACGACACCUUCAAAAAUGCCGUCAGAUCUAAAGUUGGGAGAAAAAAGUCGCGGAUCAACUGGUCCUGGAAGACUGAAGGAAAGAGUAAAGGGUCCAGGGGGGCAUUGUUGCUGAAACUUCAUUCCAUAGACUCGAGAAUUCCUCGAAACAGUUCUUGCACCAGUUGUUGUCACCCCUCGCACAUGAACAUUUCCAUCGUGUUCGACCUCACAGAUAAAUUCACCUGCAGUGAAACCAUUCUCAAUGUCAAAUUUGACAAGUAUUUGUGUUCCUAGUUUUUAACGCAUGGAGUAUUUGAAUAACAACAAUUAGUGCAGACGGAUGUAACUAAGUUGGACAUUGGCACAAGCAAGAUGUGGAAAAUAAAGAGGCAGAGCUAUUUAUACCAGGAUCUUUCUUUACUCCAGGUAGGGCGACACAAAAGUAAUAUGCUGACUUGCUAACACCAAUAUCUACAGCUCCUACGGGUGGCCCAAUUCCUCCUCUAUUUGCUGCUCCAUUCAAGAUGACACGCAAAUCUGAGCUACGUUCUUGCAUAUUGGGAAUGGGAAGAAGGGGCAUCAUACAAGGUCCAUACAGUGAAUUGUUUGUUUGUAACAUGGAUGUCUGAGGAUCACAAAGAAGCUGGUUCUGCAGAUCAUAUUGGAAGUUCAUUGAUGCAUCAUGAUUUUCAGGUUCAUCAGAAUCCCGAGUGCUAGGGACUGCAGUAAGAGGUGAACGAUCACAACAGUGGCUCUUUUUCGCAUCAUCCUGAGAUGUUCUUGAAGAACUAUCAUGGUCAUCAUUAACUUCAUUCGCAAAUCUUUCCCUGCUGCUGCUUUUCCAAACUAUUCUCUUAACCUUCAUCUCUGGAUGUAAGUUAUUCAUUCUGAUUUUAAAGUAUCUCCAAUGGAAGUAUAAUUAUGCGCCCUCAAAGUUUAUCUAUAAUAAGAUUGUCAAUACAACAUCAUAAGGGCAAAUAAACAAAAAUAGGAAGAAGAAGAAGAUUAAGGAAAAGUUAAGCUCAUUGUAUACUAGUUUCUUUGCAUGUAUCAAUUAGAUGGCCAUGUCAAGUAGGGUGUGUUUGUUAGUCAUCUUACUUUGCAUCAAUAGUUGAAAAGCAAUUAGUUAAAUCCCACCAGUAUCAAAAACUAAUCAUAAUUGUUCCACGGGAUAAUCAGAACCUUCCUUAAGAUGGGUUCACAAGACAAUAUUUUUCCACAUUAAAACUUGGGUGUGAAAAACUACUACUGCUUUUUCAUAUUCUGUAAGUCCUUGGAUCAUAGUGUCCUCACUUACAGUUAACAAAACUCCAAUAUCUAAUCAAUUCACUUACCCAUUCUAGAAGUAGUUGUCUAGUUCAAUCAAUAAAGAAACACAUGUAGCCACCAAAAUCACAAGUCUAAUCAUCAUCGUCAAGUUCUAAAGAUAAGCAAGUGCCAGAUACAAGCACAUACUGGAUUUAGGGUGGGAAACAUUGGAGCAAUGCGAGGUAAUAUACUAAUAUAAUAAUAAAGUGAAGAAUAAAUGAAUUAAUUGAACACAUUCACUGCAAACAUAAGCAGUUUAAAUAUUAUUAUGAAACACAGAAACAGAAUCUGUGUCCUGCAUGCCGCCAUUCAGUCGACCACCCGAGGAAUUACAGAUUCGGAAGCACAAAUAUAUGGAUAAUUUGCAGCAAGUGGUCAUGACUACCAAGUAAAACUAGUAGCCAAAUAAAAAGCCCACAACACGUAUGCACCAUUCAAACAAUAAAAGACUUUGAUCCUGCACCAUGCAUUAUCAAGCACUAACGCUACUUACUUUUUCCCCAAAUGCCACCAAGAACUAAGGCCCUGUUUGGUUCCAAGAAACCAGUGAGGAAAUGGAAAGUGAAUUCCUUGUAGAAACCUACUCCUUUCUCUUGUUUGGUAAACAAAGGAAAGUAGUAGGGAAAUGGAAAAGAAUUCCACGGAAAGUAAUUCUUUUUCUGAAUCAUGGAUUUUGUGAAAAAAAUGGGAUAGGAAAACAUGAAAAGAUAAAGAGAACUCAUCUUAAAUCAAUCAUAAUCAAUUUUGAUGAAGCUGAACUUUGAUGAAUGAUGAUUCUCACUCUUAAAAUUGCCUAACAAUUGUAUUGUAUUUUAAUUUACUUUAAGUAUAGUGGACAACCAUGGUUAGGUUCUAAAUGGUGGACAACAUUGACAAUUCAAUUGAUUAUGUAAACAAUUCUAUAGUGAGUAAGCUGGUAAGAGAAUUGCAUUGUUACAAAACUAAGUUCAAAAGCAAGCUUGAAUCAUCAAACUCCAUAAAAUUGAAACAAGUAAUGUAUUAAUAAAACUGAAAAAUAACCAACAUGUUAACCCAAAGAAUUCAAAAGAAAUAAAAAGUUGCAAAAUUCACCAAAAUUUAGCUCUCUUUAUUCCAAAAAAAGGCCUAAUAAUCUGAAAUUACAUCAAAAUCCACUACCUCAUAAAUUUAUGGUAAAAUAUCAACUGAGUUAUGGUUUCUUUGCUUUUUGGAGAAACAAAAGAAUGAAAAGUAACCUUUGUAGUUGCAACUGCUGCAUAUAAGGCAGUUUAUUUGAACUAUUUCAUAGUUAAAAGGUUGAAAAUAGAUAAAGGGUACAACCUUUCUAUGCAUAAUAGUAAUGCUUUUUAUUACUGAAUCAUUUGCUAUUACAGAGCUAUAACCAUAUCCUAGUCGACAGCAGCAAGGCCACAAAAGAAAUUUUUCAAUACAUUGGCUGCUCAAUUAUGCCUCCAACAUUUACACUUCGGAGGCUCUAUCUGCGAGUAAUACAUCUUCUUAGCGCAUUCGAUUACAUUAGGACAGAGGAUUCUACUAAGGGAAGAGAACCAUGUCCUUCAAUAUGACUCCGUCACAUACCUAUCUUCUUGGAACACUGCAUUCACAUUCAAUUUUUUGCACAUGCUCUAGAAACUUGUCAUUGGCAUCUGAUCAACAAUAGCAUGUACAACCACAUUUUAACAAAGAAAUCUCAUUUUGCAGUAACAUUGCUGAAUUUUUGUCGAAACUCAAACGUCUUACCGUUGCCAUGGUCGAAAUUACAUAAAAUGAGAUUGAGGCAAAGCAAAUUCAAGAGUCCGCUGGACAAAAUACAACCAUAGAUAACUUAUAGAAAUCCAACCUGCAAUACCCUUAAAAACGAUAAAUAAUUGUCAGUUUGGUUAUUUAACAUCACAAACAUCUCAAGUUUAUGGAUGUCAUGAGUUAGUUAGAAGUUUCAAGAAUUUCACAUAUCUUUCCAUGUAGAUUACACAAUGUGAUGUCACAUCACAUAUGGUUGGUUCUUAUAUCUGGACUAAACUGAUGAAGUUAAGUUCUUUUCUGUAUCUUAGUCAUAAUGACAAAUAUCUUCCUAAGGCUAAACUGCUAAUUUAAUAAUAUUCUAAAAGGAUUCUGAUCAUCCCCGUUUUACUCCCGAUGGUCAUGUAGGAUUAAGAAUCUUAAACUUGCUUGCAUGGUUGUAAAUCAGAAAAUUCAAAGAAUAUAUCAAUUAAAUGUUGGUAAGAUCAAGAUUAGCUGUGACUUUAGUGCUUAAUGAAGGUAACUUAAGUUAGCUUGAGCAGAUACAGAACAAGUCAAAAUUCAUCUCCUUAUACAACCAAUGCAUGUAUGAUUAAUAGACAUAAAAAUCUAUGCAGACCCAUAUACAAAUUUCUAAGGCCAUGAAUCAGGAAUACUAUACAUAUCAACCUACAUUACAGGUAUAACCACGAAAAUCAUCACCAUCAAACGGUUUGAGAGAUUGAACAGCUUGGAAUGGUACUAACAUAGUCUACUCACAACACCAAAGCGAAAAAAAAAAAUCAGUUUACCUGAAUACAAAACAAUAAUAAGUAUAAAUCUCUUGAAUGAACAGGAAAAAACCAAUUCCUAUGCCCAUGGAAACAGAAGAAAAGCAACAGAAUUUAGAAAAAGGACCCCCGAGGGGAGGGGGGUAGGGAACUGAAAGUCUCCAAGGGAGCAAACCUAUGCCAAAAAAGAGCAAUUCGUUUUUAUUUUGCACUUCCCCUGAGCCUUCUAUCGUCCUUUCUCUAAAAUUGGCAACGCCGACUGCCGGAAACCACGUUGGAGAAGGAAAUCUAGUGGCUAGAGAGGAGAAAAAAUUGUUUGAGAGAGGCUAGGGUUCGAUUGCAAAGGGGAGACGUUUUUUAAUUUGACCCGAUUUCUCUUAUUACCCGGUAGGAUCCACAUUUGGCCCAGUCCUUCGAUAUUUUUACCCAAAUAGAGUCCGCAUAUUGACCCGGUUCUCAGUGAUUUCCUUCAUUUCCUCCCAUUCUCGUAAGGAAACAUUUGUUAAAACUUAGAAUGUAUUAUACAUUUAAACUUUAUUUAAAAAUAUUUUUAAGCCAAAACAAUUUUCUAGAAAUUCUUUUAUAUUUAAAAAAAACUUGCUAGGAAUACUUAUCAAAGAUUAACACAUUUUUUAAAUCAUUUCUUGAAGAAUUGAUUAUCUUUUACAUAAAAAUAAUCGUGCUUUUAAAUGAUUUUGUAUUGCUAAAUUAUUUGUAAAUGAGUUCACCUAACGACGAAAUAUCAUGAAAUAUUUUUAAACGAUAAGCAAAAAUAUGAAAAUUUUAAAAAUAAAAAAAGUGAAUCAUCUUUUAAUUUAUUUCUAUUGCUUAAAAUCGUAUUAUCAUUUAGUAUAAAAUUUUUCCUUGUAAAUAUUCAAUACAUAGAUCCCAAAUUAACAUAUAUAACCAAUGUUUUUUAAUCCUUUUAUUUCAUUUUCCAACUAACCUAGAAUAGAGUAAUAUUGAAGCAAGUUUGAAAUAAUUUUACCAAUUAAUUGAGAAAAACAACCCGAAAACAAAACCAGAAAUUGUCACACUCCAGAAGGGUCAAGUUCUUGGUUCAAGGGCCUAUAAAAGCUUACAAUUCCCUCCAUUCCAUAUUAUCAAUUCAAAUGAGUACGCAAUAUGCAAAAAACAGCAACAUUUCUCCAAAAUCCAUCAGAAACUACGAGGUUUUCUGAAGUUGGAACCCAAAACAAACGUCAAAAUCACGAGAAAGAAAUCCUCUUUGAGACGGAAACUAAAUACUUGAGGCAAAGUUCUGGUUUUGGCCAUCCAAACAUCACCAAGAACCCAUCGUCAAAGUGGUCUUCUUUGAUCAAACACUGCAUCUUUCAAGGGAAAACAAAACAAGCCCUUUUGAUCUAUAACCGAAAUCGUGGAGUAGGAAACAUUAUCCUGGGUGCAAUCCCUUUAGCCCUCAAGGCUUGUGCUUCAUUAUCUAUGAUUAGCCUUGGCCAAGCUUUACAUGCUGAAUCUAUUAAAGGAGGGGUAGAAGGUGAUGUAAUGGUAGGGACUUCUUUGGUGGAUAUGUAUGGCAAAUGUCGCAAAAUAAGUUAUUCGCGUAAAAUGUUCGAUAAUAUGCCUGAGAGAAAUGUUACUACCUGGAAUGCAAUGAUAGGAGGGUACAUGAAAGUUGGAGACUUGAAAUCUGGAAUAUUCUUGUUUGAAGAAAUGGCAUUAAGGACCUCAGUGACUUGGAAUCAAAUGAUUGAUGGGCUAGCGAAAAAUGGAAAUAUGGCGAUGGCUAGGCAGUUUUUUGAUAGGGUGCCAGAAGAGUUGAGAACUGUGGUAACAUGGACUGUAAUGGUUGAUGGGUAUGCUAGCGGUGGAGAGAUGGAGGCGGCUACUGAAAUUUUCGAGAUGAUGCCAAAGAGGAAUUUUUAUGUUUGGUCAUCGAUGAUUUCAGGCUAUUUUAAGAAGGGCAAGGUUGAAGAAGCAAAGGCAAUCUUUGAUAGGAUGCAGUUAAGAAAUUUAGUGAAUUGGAAUUCAUUGAUAUCUGGAUAUGCACAGAAUGGACUGUGUGACGAAGCAUUGGAUGCAUUUACAAGGAUGCAAAGUGAGGGGUUUGAACCAGAUGAGUUUACUUUGGUGAGUGUAUUAUCAGCUUGUGCUCAGUUGGGUAUCUUGGAUGUUGGCAAGAAAGUGCAUGAAAUGGCGAUCCAGAAAGGGGUGGUCCAAUUGAAUAACUUUGUUCUUAAUGGAUUGGUUGACAUGUAUGCAAAAUGUGGGGAUCUAAUAAAUGCUAGAUUGCUCUUUGAGGAGAUGCCAUGCAAAACUACGGCAACUUGGAAUGCUCUGAUUUUGGGUUUUGCAGUCCACGGACAAUGUAAGGAAGCUAUUAAGCUUUUUGGCAGAAUGGAUAGCAGGGGUGAGAAGCCUGACAAUAUAACCUUUCUUGCUGUUCUAUCUGCGUGUGCGCAUGGGGGAUUUGUUGAAAAAGGUUUAGAAAUUUUCUCCAAGAUGGAGAAAUAUGGAGUGACAGCGAGCAUCAAGCAUUAUGGGUGUAUAGUUGACCUCUUGGGCCGUGCAGGGAGAAUACAAGAGGCCUAUAAACUAAUCAAGGAGAUGCCCUUAAAACCAAAUGAGACGAUUUUGGGAGCUCUACUUGGAGCAUGUCGAACUCAUGGAGACACAGAUAUGGCAGAGCGCAUGCUGGAGGAGGUAGACGGAUUAAAAUGUGGCUCUGCCGUGGAUGACCCUGUUCACUAUGUUCUGCUCUCAAGUAUCUAUGCAGCUUCUGAGAAAUGGGAGCAAGCUGAAGGAAUGAGGGUGGCUUUAUUUAAUAAAGGUUCUAAAAAAGCAGCAGGCUGUAGCACCGUGAUGCUUGAAAGCACGGAAAGUAGUUUUAUUCCGCCUCUAAAGACCAGUUGACAUCUUUAACCAAAUCAAACGAGUGGACCAGAGUAGAUACUGGCCUUGCUAGUUUUUUAAUCAAUGAUGAGGACUUGAGCAGUUCAGAGAAUGACUUUGAGAGUACCAACUGCAUACAAUCCAUUAUAUAGAAAUACAUUAUUGAAACACCAAUUUAAUGCAAUUAGAGGUUCUGCCUAUGCCUCUAUAUUGUGUAGUCUAACUUUUUAAAUGAUUUUUCAACCUAAAUGGGAGAAAGCUGAAUGUAUGAGGGUGGCUGUAUCAAAUAAAGGUUUUCCUAAGGCAGGUUGCAGCGCUGUAAUUUCUAAGUCAUGGAAACUAGUGUUAAUCCGGGCUUGCAACAUACACAGAUGAGCGGUCAAGUGAAACAGCAGCACCAAUUGUAGAUUUCGUAAAUUAUUGUCAUUCAUGCCGUUUUUGAACAUAUGGCCUUAUCUCCCUUGCACUUCAGUGAGAAUCGGGGCAAAACACUAAAAAUUGUACUCUUCUAACUUUUAUAUAUUAAUGCUGCAAAAUUAGAGGUUAUGCCUCCGUAUUGUGUAUAUCACAAGCUAGAUUCUUGUAAAUCAUUCUCUAUCCAGUUGAUCCGCUUCCUUUCUUCUUUCUGGUCAUCAGAAUACUGGAGUUCUGCCUCUUUACACACGAAUAAUUUCCAAUCAUAUGACUCUAAAAGAUUCAGCUAUCGUUUUCAAAUCCUUGUAGUGUCUCUUCCAUUGAAGUCCUGUAGAAUGAGAAUAACACAUUAUAUCCCAUGGUUGUGGGUGAUAAGAUCUGGCAUGAAGUGCCAAUAGCAAUACUUAAUUUCAUACCACUUCCAGUGACAUUGAACAAGUAAAGGCGAUUUCCUGCUGCAGUAGCCGUGAUAAAAAUGUGAGGUGGUUCUAACUCAAACUGGUAGUAUUUUCUUCCCGAGUGUUCUGCUACUUGAGCGCUCAACACCUUCCCUUCGACGUUCUCACCAAUCACUUCCGGCCCAAAAGCCCCAAUCACUUUAUCUGGUUCUCCAAUUUCUUCAAUUUUUGCAUCAUCACUGAUAUCUAUACACCCAAAAACAACCAACACUUGCAUCAGCAAUCAAGCUGAUUUAACAGCUUAUCAUGUGAAUGAGCCAUUGUUUCAGAAAUCUUCACAAUUGUCUGCCUAUUGCUUGUAUGACCCUUCUGUUAGCUUAUUAUAUUGCAACAACAUCCAAGAAAUUGCACCAGCUUCAGAAUUAUAAAGAAGAAAGGAGGUGGAGGGCAGGGAUGGGAGGGAAACUCACUGUCCGCAAAUCUUCUAACAGGAGCAACAAUUACAAAGAGACGUCCUUCUUGGGAGUUGGCAAAUCUCAAAUCAAUUUCUGUGCCUCCUAGAUCUGCAAUGGACACAGGAACCUGUAUACAAGAUAAGCUGUGGUAAAAAGAAGACUGUUCUAAAGAGUAAAGAAGUAUUGGAGAUCAUACAAGAUAGCAGAAAGCCGCUCAAACGAUGAAAAAUAUAUGCUUUGGCUUCAGAAAUUGGAGUUCAAAGAUGAAAACGUAGAGAUAUUUAUGAAUGCUCCUCUGUUGAAGAGUUUAUGCUUACCUCUUCCCAGCCAUCAGGCACAGAAAAGGCAUAGGGGAUGAUAGGACUCCAUCCCACACCAUGCCCUCCUGACUUGUCAUCCGGCCUUCGAUAAGUUCUCCAACCUGCCUGAGAAAUUGUUCUACAUAGUGAAGGAGUACGUAUUCACAUUGGACGAAGCUAUAGAAUUUGAAGCACCCAAGAAUCUUUCACGUUAUCAAUUUUAAGGAAUACUGCAUGUAUAUACGUUGUCUACCAAUUUUGAACAACAGAAAGAAAAUGCAAUUUCUUCAAUCCAUGUUAGAACAAUUUAAGCAUUUUGCUUCAUAAGAUUGAUUAUGCUUCCUUUUCAGUCUAAAAAGAUCUUGAGGACGAUAACCAGCAUGCUUCUUUUGCUUUAUUCUAAAUAAUGUUCUUGAAAGUGGGAUUACCAGUACAAACGAUGAAUCUAACCUUGCUCAUUUGGUUCUGAAAGGCCAGGCACCCUUCCUGCCAGAAGACCUUGUUUUACAACUGCCAAUCCCACUCCAGGAAAUCCAAAUGCUGUUGUAGCUAAAGACAUGGCAGAAGCCAUUGCUGACCUCCUACUGACCGCCUGUAUCAGCCUCUCACUUUCUUCAUUCACAGUUUCCCUUUCUGUUGAACCUGCCCCAGCUUUAACAAUUGAACCCCCUUUCUCUGAUGCAGAAUUAGCAACGAAAUGUUUAGAUGCAACAAUCUGUUGAUUGUUUGUCCCAGCAAGACAACAACUAGUGUAUGAUAUUGUAAUCAUUUUUCACUCGACCGAAAAAUAGAGUGGUGGCAGAGGGAAAUGAAGAAGAAGAGAAAUGAAAGUUCAACAAUGGAAACUAAGAAACUAGUUACUCCUCUUCUUGGUUGCUUCUGUCCAGAAAUGAAGCUCAGACGAUUGAUUGAUUGACCUUAUUCUCCUAGUACCUCUAAAUUAUUCAAGGGGCAAACUGUAGAAGAUGAGAUGCUGUAGUUACUUGUAGUUUUCCUGUGGCUGUGGUAUUUUUUGAGAUUUCUUUCCCCCUAGUAGUUGCAUUCUGGUGUAUCAUCCACCACGUGUAACUCGGAUGUUACAAUUGCUAAAUAUCAAGGAGCCCAAAAUUUCUUGUCUUGUUUGGCAGCAAAUAAUAUCAAAACAGCUACUAGUAUAAUCCCCUUGUCACGUAUUGAUACCAGUCAAGAACCAUGGAUUCACUAAAAACAGUUCCUGAUGUAUUAAUUCCUUUGUCCCGUAACAAUACUAGUUAAGGACCAUGGAUUCAAUUACUCCUAUAUGUUAUGACUUAAACUUGUACCUGUAUCAGUAUUGCUGUAUAUUAAAUGAAAUACCAAUACCAGAUUCUAAAGGUAGAAUCCAAAGCUGAGUACUCUUUUUGUUUCUUUUUUUUUUUUUUUUGGUUGCAAUGAUAACAUUUGUAUAAAUACCAAAUUCUAGAGUUAGAAUCCAAAGCUGAGUACUCGAAAAAUAGAGAAUGGUUAUAAAGUGGAUCACAGAUUAACUUUUCCUCUAUAAUUAUAAAGUAGGGCAUCUUCUCCUUUAUUUUUUUUAUCAUUUUUUUUAAAAAAUUUUAUCACUUAAUUCGCCUUAGCUACAACCAUAUUGUGUAUCUUUGCCUGCCUAUAUAUACUCCGAUACUUCCGUUUGGAUUAGUUGUUGUUUGUAGUAUUUUUGAAAAAUUUUACUGUAACAGUGUAUAUGAAAAAUUUUUACAAUAAAAUUUUUUAAAAUAUUUGAUAUAUUAUAUGAAUGAGAUGUUUUUUGAGUUAUUGUAUAUUACUGUAAUAUUGUAUUUUAAAAAAUUAUUUUUGAAAAAAUGACCAAUCCAAACAAAAAUUUAAAAUUAAACACGUCACAGGGUCAUGUAGAUAACCCAAGGAAGAUUAAGCUUUAAAAUAUCGAACAUAAAAAUAUCAACUCUUUUUCUUUAUUUUUUCCCCUCUUGAUGAACUGAAAAACGUCUUGAUUUCGGCAUAUCUAUGCAGUUGAGGCACGAGGUCAAAGAAUUCACAUGGUUUGUCAAUCUUUGGUGCCUUUACAUUCGAAAACGAGCAGGCCCCAAACAAGUUUUCAUGCCCCAAACAAGUUUUCAUGUUCAGAUUUCGUUGUAAAAUUACGAACGCAAUUUGAAGCCUCGUAUGUGCUUGUUUUGUCAAGCACAGAAAGCACAGAAUUAGCAAUUCUUUUAAAGACCUCACCUUGUAAAAGAUUCUGUAUACAACAAUCAAUUUCACUAAAAGACUAAGCUAACAGAGAAAACAUGCUGGAAGCAGCAAAAUAAUCUACAACAGCUUGUCAAAAGAGUGCUGCAGAACGUUAAUGAUUGUCCUCAGACAACAUUCAUGGUAGAGGCAGGGGUGGUUUCCACUUGCCAAACUCCACCAAAUUCCUAUUGAUUAUAGUUCCA
rnacentral:lncRNA from 1 species